rnacentral:rRNA from 1 species
CAAUAGCGUAUAUUUAAGUUGCUGCAAUUAAAAAGCUCGUAGUUGGAUUUCGGGUGGGAAUGGCCGGUCCGCCGUUUCGGUGUGCACUUGCUACGCCCACCUUGCUGCCGGGGACGUGCUCUUGAGUUCACGCUCGGGACACGGAGUCGGCGAGGUUACUUUGAGUAAAUUAGAGUGUUCAAAGCAGGCCUACGCUCUGAAUACAUUAGCAUGGAAUAACACGAUAGGACUCUGGCCUAUCUUGUUGGUCUGUAGGACCGGAGUAAUGAUUAAGAGGGACAGUCGGGGGCAUUCGUAUUUCAUUGUCAGAGGUGAAAUUCUUGGAUUUAUGAAAGACGAACUACUGCGAAAGCAUUUGCCAAGGAUGUUUUCAUUAA